rnacentral:lncRNA from 1 species
AUAGCGCCAUUACUGCAUGCCACUAAUUGGCAUCUUUAAACAUUUUAGUAGCAGUUGAUUUUUAAUAUGUUUUCCUUUGGUCCUUUCUACAGCUCUUACUCAGAGAGGAAAUCUGAUCUACGAUAGCACGGAAACAUCAGCAGUGACCAUGGCAAGGGAAAUUCCUUAGGGAGCUGCCUAAUCUUGGGUACAUGAAGAGGUCCCCAUUUCUGUGCUACAGUGAUUCAGCAGCUGAAGGUUGGGAAAAAAGGAGCCUUUUGUGCUUUUAUUACUUCUCCUUGUGACUGUUGGCUGUGUGGAGAGCAAAGGGAAGUAUUGGAGCAAGAGAUUUUGAAGCCAAGAAGUGUUCAUGAUAUGAUCAAGCUGGCUUGCAGAGAA